rnacentral:tRNA from 1 species
AUGGCCGAGUGGUAAGGCGGGGGACUGCAAAUCCUUUUCCCCCAGUUCAAAUCCGGGU